GUGAGGAAUUUUCCGCAAUGGGCGGAAGCCUGACGGAGCAAUGCCGCGUGAAGGAUGAAGGCCUAUGGGUUGUAAACUUCUUUUCUCAGAAAAGAAUUAUGACGGUAUCUGAGGAAUAAGCAUCGGCUAACUCUGUGCCAGCAGCAGCGGUAAGACAGAGGAUGCAAGCGUUAUCCGGAAUGAUUGGGCGUAAAGCGUCUGUAGGUUGUUUAAAAAGUAUUCUGUCAAAGAUUAGGGCUUAACCCUAGAUAGGCAGAAUAAACUUUUAAGCUAGAGUUUGGUAGAGGCAGAGGGAAUUCCCGGUGGAGCGGUGAAAUGCGUAGAUAUCGGGAGGAACACCAAAGGCGAAGGCACUCUGCUGGGCCAAUACUAACACUGAGAGACGAAAGCGAGGGGAGCAAAUGGGAUUAGAUACCCGUGUAGUCC
rnacentral:rRNA from 1 species